rnacentral:rRNA from 1 species
GACGAACCGUGCAAACGUUGUUCGGAAUCACUGGGCUUAAAGGGCGCGUAGGCGGGCUCGCCAGUCAGGGGUGAAAGCCCACAGCUCAACUGUGGAAGUGCCUUUGAUACUGCGAGUCUCGAGGGAGGUAGGGGCGUGCGGAACUUCCGGUGGAGCGGUGAAAUGCGUAGAUAUCGGAAGGAACGUCGGUGGCGAAAGCGGCGCGCUGGACCUCUUCUGACGCUGAGGCGCGAAAGCCAGGGGAGCGAACGGG